GGUGAACCAGCGGAGGGAUCAUUACUGAGUUAUCAAAACUCCAAACCCUUUGUGAACCUUACCGUCGUUGCCUCGGCGUGAGCUACGGCUACCCUGUAACUACCCUGGAGCUACCCUAGAGUUACCCUAUAGCUACCCUGCACUUACCCUGCAGCUACCCUAUAGCUACCCUGGAGCUACCCUGGAGCUACCCUGUAGUCGGCUUCGGCCCGCCGAAGGACCGUUAAACUCUUGUUUUUACCACUGUUUCUCUGAAUUCUAAACUAAAAUAAGUUAAAACUUUCAACAACGGAUCUCUUGGUUCUGGCAUCGAUGAAGAACGCAGCGAAAUGCGAUAAGUAAUGUGAAUUGCAGAAUUCAGUGAAUCAUCGAAUCUUUGAACGCACAUUGCGCCCACUAGUAUUCUAGUGGGCAUGCCUAUUCGAGCGUCAUUUCGACCCCUAAGCCCCUGUUGCUUAGCGUUGGGAAUCUACGGCGUAGUUCCUCAAAGUUAGUGGCGGAGUUAGGGUACACUCUCAGCGUAGUAAUUUCUCUCGCUCGUGUGGUGGCCCUGGCUGCUGGCCGUUAAAACCCCUAUAUUUUCUAGUGGUUGACCUCGGAUUAGGUAGGAAUACCCGCUGAACUUAAGCAUAUCAAUAAGCGGAGG
rnacentral:rRNA from 1 species